GAUGAAGAACGCAGCGAAAUGCGAUACGUAAUGUGAAUUGCAAAUUCAGUGAAUCAUCGAGUCUUUGAACGCACAUUGCGCCCGCCAGUAUUCUGGCGGGCAUGCCUGUUCGAGCGUCAUUUCAACCCUCAAGACCCCUUCGGGGGACUUGGUGUUGGGGACCGGCACAGGGGCCUGCCUGCUUGUCUUGCAGCGCCCUCGCCGCCCCCGAAAUGAAUUGGCGGCCUCGUCGCGGCCUCCCCUGCGUAGUAGCACAACCUCGCAACGGGAACGUGACGGCGGCCACUGCCGUAAAACAACCCCGAUUUUAUUAGAGUUGACCUCGAAUCAGGUAGGAAUACCCGCUGAACUUAAGCAUAUCAAUAAGCGGAGGA
rnacentral:misc_RNA from 1 species